rnacentral:SRP_RNA from 1 species
GCAGGGCAUGGUGGCUCACACCUGUAAUCCCAGCACUUUGGGAGGCUGAGGUGGGCAGAUCACCUGAGGUCAGGAGAUCGAGAGCAGCCUGGCUAACACGGUGAAACCCCGUCUCUACUAAAAAUACAAAAAAUAGCCAGGUGUGGUAGUGCGCGCCUAUAGUCUCAGCUAUNNNNNNNNNNAUAGCUGAGACUAUAGGCGCGCACUACCACACCUGGCUAUUUUUUGUAUUUUUAGUAGAGACGGGGUUUCACCGUGUUAGCCAGGCUGCUCUCGAUCUCCUGACCUCAGGUGAUCUGCCCACCUCAG